AAAUUGAAGAGUUUGAUCAUGGCUCAGAUUGAACGCUGGCGGCAGGCCUAACACAUGCAAGUCGAACGGUAACAGGAAGCAGCUUGCUGCUUCGCUGACGAGUGGCGGACGGGUGAGUAAUGUCUGGGAAACUGCCUGAUGGAGGGGGAUAACUACUGGAAACGGUAGCUAAUACCGCAUAAUGUCGCAAGACCAAAGAGGGGGACC
rnacentral:rRNA from 7 species